rnacentral:lncRNA from 1 species
UCUGACCAAAUUUCCAAUUACUGGGAGCAAUCCAGCGAGAGGUAGAGUACCUGAGAUCACUGCUUCUCACUCUGAAAGACAGUGCCUCUCCCACUAACAUGACAUCAGUUUCCCAUUUUUGACCCCAAUUUCGCUUCAAAUUUGUCCAAUGCUUGAUUUUCUUGUUACCCUUUAGCUGCACUUGUGUGAUAUCUCCAGCUCCUCCAACAUUCCACACUGAUACCAGAUUAAAAUAAGGAUUCCCAGUGAUAGUGAACCGAAUUCCUCCUUUCUUCUUGCACGGUACCCUGCAAAAUUGUAAGACUCCUACACUUAAAUAAAUAUCAUUGGAAAAGUUUUUAUAAUAUUUUAACUACCACCUUAUGCAAAUAUGAUAAGCUUUUAUUCGUAACCUGCGAUAAUUGAUUGGGACUAUGCCAGCCUUAUACUCUGCAAUUUUGAGAUAUGCAGGUUUGGCCAAAUCAAAGUGUUCGCGUGGUGGGUUGCACCAUCCUCCAUUAUCACCAGGUAUAUCGUAGUUUGGAGGGCAAAGAUUGGUUCCCGUCACAAAAAUAGAGGAUUUCCCUGCCUUACAUCCUGCACGAGAAUUUACACAUUUGAUCUCGUAACAUGCACCGCAUGUCUGUCCAUCCUUGAACAAAACUGAACUCAAUGCUGUCGUAUCUAGGCCAUAGCCAUCCUUAACCACAUCAUCGUACCCACAAGCUCCACCUGCAUGCAAUGUGAUCAGGUUUCAUUAAGAAGAUACUCGUAACAACUUUACGUACAUAGUAUUGGUACAUGCAUUUAUUUCAAUGAGUUUUUAUAUUAUAACACAUCUUUUAUUUUGAACAUGGUAAAAAAAUUUAGACUGAAUAGCUUUAGAUAUAAGUAAUGAAAUCAGGUAAGAAAUAUUGUACCAAAUGUUUUAGUGUCUCCAUCGUAGAAGGUUGCAAGAGCUUUCUUCCAUCCAGUAGGCUUAAAAAUUGGACGAUGAUGUCUGAGUUCACCUUUCUUGUUAUAUUUGUUAUUGCUUUUGCCAGCAGCAUGGACAUUAGGAAGUGAGAAUGCUACAAGAAAGACCAAUGUUGUGAUUAGGAUGGCUCCCGAGAGGAAAGCCAUGACAACUUUUCAGAUUUGGUUUCAGUUCUCUCCAAUAUAUGAGAUGAUUCUUUGAUGUUUUCCUAUAUUUUCUCACCUGUAUCUGUAUGUAUAUAUAGGAAAAUGUGUUUAGCAUGUGUAACAAUUUUAAUUGGCUGCCACUUUCGCGGAAUGUUACAGUAUGA